CCAGACUCCUACGGGAGGCAGCAGUGGGGAAUAUUGCGCAAUGGGGGAAACCCUGACGCAGCAACGCCGCGUGCAGGAAGAAGGUCUUCGGAUUGUAAACUGUUGUCGCAGGGGAAGAAGACAGUGACGGUACCCUGUGAGAAAGUCACGGCUAAAUACGUGCCAGCAGCCGCGGUAAUACGUAUGGUGCAAGCGUUAUCCGGAUUUACUGGGCGUAAAGGGAGCGCAGGCGGCGCGCCAAGUCUGAUGUGAAACCCCGGGGCUCAACCCCGGGCAUGCAUUGGAAACUGGCGGGCUGGAGUGCCGGAGAGGUAAGCGGAAUUCCUAGUGUAGCGGUGAAAUGCGUAGAUAUUAGGAGGAACACCAGUGGCGAAGGCGGCUUACUGGACGGCAACUGACGCUGAGGCUCGAAAGCGUGGGGAGCAAACAGGAUUAGAUACCCGGGUAUU
rnacentral:rRNA from 1 species